UACGGGGGGGGGCAAGCGUUGUUCGGAAUUACUGGGCGUAAAGGGCGUGUAGGUGGCCAACUAAGUCCGACGUGAAAUCCCCAGGCUUAACCUGGGAACUGCGUCGGAUACUGGAUGGCUUGAAUUCGGGAGAGGGAUGCAGAAUUCCAGGUGUAGCGGUGAAAUGCGUAGAUAUCAGGAGGAACACCGGCGGUGUAGACGGCUUUCUGGACCGUAGCUGACGCUGAGACACGAAAGCGUGGGUAGCAAACAGG
rnacentral:rRNA from 1 species